GAUGAACGCUGGCGGCGUGCUUAACACAUGCAAGUCGAACGAAGCACUUUAUUUGAUUUCCUUCGGGACUGAUUAUUUUGUGACUGAGUGGCGGACGGGUGAGUAACGCGUGGGUAACCUGCCUUGUACAGGGGGAUAACAGUUGGAAACGGCUGCUAAUACCGCAUAAGCGCACAGCAUCGCAUGAUGCAGUGUGAAAAACUCCGGUGGUAUAAGAUGGACCCGCGUUGGAUUAGCUAGUUGGUGAGGUAACGGCCCACCAAGGCGACGAUCCAUAGCCGACGUGAGAGGGUGACCGGCCACAUUGGGACUGAGCCACGGCCCAAACUCCUACGGGAGGCGGCAGUGGGGAAUAUUGCACAAUGGGCGAAAGCCUGAUGCAGCGACGCCGCGUGAGCGAAGAAGUAUUUCGGUAUGUAAAGCUCUAUCAGCAGGGGAGGUAAUGACGGUACCUGACUAAGAAGCACCGGCUAAAUACGUG
rnacentral:rRNA from 1 species